AUUCCGUUUCCGAACAAAACCAGAGUAAAUGCCAUGGAAAUAAAGGACAGAGUAGAGGGUGGGGGUGUUAAAGACAUGCCUACGGUAAGACGUUGUUGGGGGCAUUAAGUUCAGGGCGUACGAUAUCCGGUCUCAGAGCAAGUUCGGAUCGCCAUCGAAGAGCAAGAGGAAGAGGGAGAGGGAGCAGAGUUACAAAGGCAACCCUUCCAACGAAGGGAAGAGUCUCCAAUACCCCGGAGAAGAACCUGACCCUGCAGAAUUUUUCAGCUUGCAGUACCUGACAUUCAAAUGAGCACGAGCAGCCCGACUUUACUGUGCACUCCCCUGAUGGGGACCACCGUGGAUCAGAUGCUGGCUGAGAUGAGGAAGGCCAAGGAGAUAGGGGCGGACGUCUUGGAGAUACGGUUGGACUGCUUGAGGAAGUUCAAUCCUCACCAGGACCUCGAGAUCCUCAUCAAACGGUCUCCUCUGCCCACCCUUAUCACUUACAGACCACUCCGGGAAGGUGGUCAGUAUGACGGAGACGAGAACAGGAGACAAGAUGCUCUACGUUUGGCAAUGCACCUUGGCGCCAGCUACGUUGAUAUCGAGCUUGAGGUUGCUUAUGAGUUCAUUAAUUCCAUUCGCGUAAAGAAGCCAGAGAACUUCAAAGUCAUAGUCUCCUCCCACAAUUUCCACGGAACUCCUUCCUCUGAAGCCAUUGGGAAGCUUGUAGUUAUGAUACAAGCUUCUGGGGCUGAUAUCGUCAAAGUAGCAACGACCGCUUUGGACAUUACGGACUGUGCACGGGUUUUCCAAAUGACGGUCCAAUCUCAGAUUCCAACAAUAGGAAUUGCUAUGGGAGAGAGGGGUCUUAUUUCCCGGAUACUUAGCCCAAAGUUUGGCGCAUAUCUCACUUACGGUGCCCUCGAAGCCAGUGCUAUAUCAGCUCCGGGUCAACCUCUGGCAAAGGAUUUGUGGGAUCUCUAUAACUUCCGACUCAUAAGGCCAGACACCAAAGUGUAUGGCGUCAUCAGCAAGCCCGUUGGCCACAGCAAGAGCCCUCUUCUGUUUAAUGCUGCUUUCAAAUCGGCCGGUCUCAAUGCAGUCUAUCUGCACCUUUUGGUGGAUGAUGUCAAGAAGUUUUUCGAGACAUAUUCGGCUGUAGACUUUGUUGCCGGAUGCAGUUGUGGGAUCCCUCACAAGGAAGUUGCACUUAAAUGCAUGGACGAGAUUGAUCCCAUUGCCAAGAAAAUCGGUGCUAUUAAUAACAUCAUGAGGAGACCUGAUGGGACGCUGACUGCUUUCAACACAGACUAUAUCGGUGCUAUCUCUGCCAUCGAGGAUGGACUGCGAGGUUGUUUUCUUGUCUAUCAAGAGCUAAAUGGUGCAACUCCCGCAGUGGGCUCGCCCUUGGCAGGUAAAUUGUUUGUCGUCCUCGGAGCUGGAGGAGCAGGCAAGGCACUUGCCUAUGGAGCUGCCCAAAAGGGUGCUCGGAUUGUUGUUGCCAAUCGUACACUUGAACGAGCCAAAGAACUUGCUGGUAAUGUCGGCGGGCAAGCUAUGACUCUUGACGAAGUCGCCAGUUUCCACCCUGAAGACGAGAUGGUUCUUGCCAAUGCUACCUCUGUUGGCAUGACACCAAAGAUUGAUCAGACCCCUAUACCCAAGAUACCGAGAAAUGACUUUAAAACAAGCUUUGAAAAAUUACUGCCUAGUUUUUGAUGCCGUCUACACACCAAAAGACACCAGGCUCCUCAGAGAAACCAGAGAGUCCGGAGCCUUCAUCGUGUAUGGAACCGAGAUGCUGAUCCGACAAGGCUUUGAGCAGUACAAAAAUUUCAUGGGAUUGCCAGCGCCGGAAGAGUUGUUCAGGAUGGUCAUGGAGAAGCACGCAUAAAACAUUCAUCAACGCGAUUUCACACGGGAAGCUUAGGAGCCGAAAAUUUUGAGUAUUCAUAUAACAAUAAAGUCUGCUAUGUCAUAAUCAGAUAAGAUUUGCUAGUGCCGCACUAUGUUCCCCUGCUUUGGGUCUUACUACCGAAAUAAAAUUUCUAAAUAGGCUUCUUGUUUUAA